rnacentral:rRNA from 1 species
UACGUAGGGGGCAAGCGUUGUCCGGAAUCAUUGGGCGUAAAGAGCGUGUAGGCGGUCCGGUAAGUCGGCUGUGAAAGUCCAGGGCUCAACCCUGGGAUGCCGGUCGAUACUGCCGGACUAGAGUUCGGAAGAGGCGAGUGGAAUUCCCGGUGUAGGGGUGAAAUGCGCAGAUAUCGGGAGGAACACCUAUGGCGAAGGCAGCUCGCUGGGACGUUACUGACGCUGAGACGCGAAAGCGUGGGGAGCAAACAGG